rnacentral:lncRNA from 1 species
UUCUCUUUCUGACGGUCUCCUAUUUAGUUGCUUCCCACCUACUACCAAUCACACUUUGCUAACUAGCUUCACUUCCUCUCCUCCAUGGCUACCUUCGCCGCCCUCUUCCUCAUCCUCUAUACUCUCUCCGUCGCCACAACCGUAGAACCUUCCCCCUCUCCAGAUCUAGUCCGUUCCUCAUGCCUACACGCCACCUUCCCGAAGGUCUGUGUCACCAGCCUCACCUUAUACAAAGGCCCCGUCACUACCCCACGGGAGCUAGCACAGGCCGCCAUCAAAGUCAGCCUCUCUCGAGCCUCCAAGGCGUCCGACUUUCUUUCCGGCCUGCAGAAGGAGGCGAACAA